CUUCUGCCAGACAGAUGGGACUCUCCAGCAUGAAAAUCUGCGCAACCAUUCCAACAAGUAGGACUGUGCCUGAUGUUGCCCGAAGGAUGCCGAAGAAAAAGACUUCAGGACUGGAAGCGCUCUUACCCCAAGAUCGGUCACCUUUCCCCUUUCCGAAUUCCCCGCACCAGUUCACACCAGCAACUGAGAUUUAG
rnacentral:lncRNA from 1 species